rnacentral:rRNA from 1 species
CUUGACGACCAUAGAGCGUUGGAACCACCUGAUCCCAUCCCGAACUCAGUAGUGAAACGACGCAUCGCCGAUGGUAGUGUGGAGUUUCUCCAUGUGAGAGUAGGUCAU